ensembl:lincRNA
GUCAUUCACGCUCUGGGGAUCACACGCGCCCGACGCCGUGUUAGGAACAGGGUCACAGUGAUGACCAAAACAGACGCAGUUCUCGUACUCAUGGCAAAGACGUAGUUUAUUUAAAUGAGGCGCUUGUUAUCUCCUUAUCAGUCUGUGGAAAAUCCGACAGAGCUAGGAAAGUAUGUGGUGAGUUACUAGACCAACUCUGGGAGUCAGGAGAAGCUUCGACCGGGAAGCAGGGUUUGAGCUGAGACCUGGGGCUGCAUGAAGGUUCAGGAAGGAAAGAGACUCUAGACAGCGGUGGAAGGAAGCAUGGCAUGUGUGACGCCCUCGAAGACCAGGGGCCUUCAGCGAGGGUGCAGCGGAAGGCGGGGCACACUCACGCGGACCGCGGAGGACAGGUGAGCAGGACUCUUUACGGUGGCGCCUGACGGGAUAAGGGGAAUCCACGAGGCACGGGCAGCCCCCGCGAUGAAUGCAAAGUUGAGAAGAAUGAGAAGCUGCCACGAGGCCUGGGCACCAGGGUGGACGGCGGGAGUGUUCACCGAGGACAGGAGCUGCGGGAAAGGCUGAGUCCCUGCGGCCCUGGCUGCGAGGAGAAGCCGCCAGUCAGGCUCCGCGGCAGGGAGGGCCCAGGGCAGGCCACGCCGAGCUGAGCUGCAGUUCCCUGCUGCUUUCCCGUCUCCCAUCUUCCUGGAGUCAAGUGAGCUGUAAAUCAGACAGCGAGGGAGCCCCCUGAUGCAGAAUGUAAAAGUCAGCUCCUGGGCACAGAACGGUGGGGAAGGAUGGAGCAGGCGGGGCGGGGAGAGCCCAAAGUGACCCGGAGAGCGUGGCCAGAUCACAGGGGAUCUUACGGGCGAAGUCUUUAUUUUUCUGCAAGUGGCAGCCAGCGAGGGAAAGAGGAACUCUGCUGUGCAUUUAUAAAGGGAGCUCAUUCACGUGCUCUGCGGAGACCGGAGCCGCUCGUGGAGGACAGAAGCUCGUGUGGAGGGUCUGGCGGACUCGGGGAGGGACGGGGCAGUUUCUACCGUCGGUGGUUGUACACGGUGCGGAGGCGCAGGAAGACCCGAGAGAUGAAGAAACUCAGGCACAAGUGUUUAAGUCACUUGUCAAGUUCAUAAAACUAGAAGGCAGAAGAGCUGGACCUUGAACUCAAGAAGUCUGGUUGCAGAGCACUCCCUCUUAAUCACUAAGGACUCCUCCAAAAUGUAAAUUGUCUCUUAUAGAAACAGUUUCUUAAAUAAAAAUUGUAAAACGGCCAACGAUUUACAAACGAAACAUAACGGGGAAAAGGAUAAUAUGGUGAAUGCGAACCAGGAGUCCUCAAAAUAACACAGAAAGGAAGAACAAUCACACAAAAUAAAAAAUCUGCCUAAAGAAUUAGAAAUUGAAAUAUUUCUAACGUUCUGGCUAUCUCUGAAGAAAGAGAAAGGAAGGUUAAGAAGGAAGAGACUAAUUUAUGAUCCAAGAAUAACCCACUGUUAUCAUAAUUAUAAAAAUACAUGUUUAGUUCUUCCUAAAAAUAUUUUCUGCUUUACUUGGAGAGGACAUCAGUAGUUCUAAUACAGAAUAAUUCCAUUCCCAAGCAAGAGAGAGGGUCUAGAGACAAACAGAACUUUCUAACAGCAUGGGAACCUCACUGAGGACCCCGGGCUCCCUAAGCCCUUCUCCACAUUGGGUGUGAGAGACGUGAAGGAGAAAGUGCAAAGGAAUCCGUUCUUCUAACUCUGUCCUCUUUGGGGUGAGGACACCUGGCACACAGAUCUGCUCCGCAUUCCAGAAUUCUCUUGUAACAAGAAAGGAACUUUGUCCCUUGAACUUUGAAGCUGUUUGUGAUUGGGAUGGAAAAUCAUAAAUCCCCAUCAGCUCUGAUAAAGUACACGAAGGAACUUUUAGGGCUCUUUGCAUUUGGGGCUGAGUGCAAGAGACUCUUUUCCGAUGUUCUCCUCAGGAGGCUAAAAUACAGAAUUUUUCCUAGUGUCUUUAUGCAGUAGAGAGAGUCAGGUGUAGACCUCAUGGCACCCGUUUCUCUUGUUACUGCCUAGUGAUGGAAGCCACAGCGGAGAUGCUCAAGUGUAAGACUUAGCUUUUUGACGCCUCAUCUGGAAAGCCACCUAUUAUCUCCGACGCAAAAGAAAGAGUGUUUUGUCUUGUCUCGUGACAAGUUAAAUUUCCAAAAGUGAUAUGAAAAAUUAUCCUAUUAAAACCUCUGAUACAUAUUGUGCUGAUUUUUUCAAAAUCUAGUUUAGAUUAAAAAGACUUCUAGAACAUUUAAGUUUGUGGAAGAUUUUUUAUCUCAUUAGGGGAGCUUUACUGAUAUGAGGGAGGAGUUCUCAUAAUCACAGUGAUCAGAAUAAAGAACACUGGGCCUUACAGGGAUUUUGCUACAUUGUUUUUCUGGAACCCGAUCAAUUUCAUACUAUUAAAAAGAAGCCGCUUUACUUCUUGACCUCCUAAGUCAUUCUCCACUGAAAGACUUAGAGUUUUUCCAAUUGUGCUCUGCAACAAACAGGGAGGGUAAUGAAAACAAUUUGGUGAAAAUAAAAAAGUUAGGCGUUAAGUGUUACAAAAUAAGAAUGAAAUCGAUGGGCUGGAUUAGGAAUAUUAGAGUACACCACACAUGAUAAAAAUAGCAUUAUUCCAUUAAUCUUUGCAUCAGCUAUUUAUGUGUGUAUGUAUACCGGGUGCAAUAUAAAAUAUUUGUUUUUGAGAAGGGUACAAAGCAAAAUUGUGGAAACCACUGACUUGGAGAGAUUGUUGAACACUACCUCAGCCCAGUACGGAGUUAAUCCUUCACUCAUAAACCCGAAAAUCCAGAGUGACUAAAUUUUGAUAAAGUCUCAUAAUGAAUAUUAUACAGCGGUGACUAGGAGUAAAGAACAGAUUUAAGCAACAAUACAGAUUAACCUCAGAAACAUGAAACUGAAAUGAAAAAGUACGUUGCAGAGAACUACACACAAUGCACUAUUUCUAUAAAACUCAAGAACAAACUUAAUUCUGUAUUAGCUGAUGACACAUGCUUAUGUGAUAAAAGUGUUAGAAUAAAGCCCCAGAACGGCGAAACCUAAACUCCAGAAGCCUGCGGACCUCUGGGGGGGCGGGCGCAGUGGGGUCCUGCGGGAGAGCCGGGGAAGUUCCCACGGUGCCGGUAUCUUCGCUCUUGGGGGUGGGUUCUGCUACGUUCCAUGGCUUCAUAUGUUCCUCGGCUUGUGUCGCACUGGUUUUUUGGUGGCGUCCAACAAUAAAAGUGAACUUGCUAAAGCAGUUUUAUAAGGAAAUACACCUAUUUCUUACCAACACUGCAUUUGGCAGAGGUCAGGCAACUCACCCGAACCCCCUCCCCGGAUGGAGCGGCCGGUGACGCCCCCGCCCGCUCGGCUCGAGCAGGACCCGCCUCGAGGCGGCCGCGACGACGGAGGGACGAGCCCAUCUGCCCCGACG